rnacentral:RNase_P_RNA from 1 species
GAAAGCAGGCGAGGUGGUUGCGGUCGUCCUCCUUGUUGAGAACGGCUGAGGAAAGUCCGGGCUCCCUGAUGGCCAGGCUUGCUGGGUAACGCCCAGUGCGGGUGACCGUGAGGAGAGUGCCACAGAAACACACCGCCGAUGGCCCCAUGGGGAUUCCCCAGGCACAGGCAAGGGUGCAAAGGUGCGGUAAGAGCGCACCAGCAGCAUCGAGAGGUGCUGGCUCGGUAAACCCCGGCUGGGAGCAAGGCCAAGGAACGACGGCUGGCCAUUGGCCCCGUUCCGUCUGAAUGCGCCGCUCGAGGCCGUCGGUAACGGCGGUCCCAGAUAGAUAACCACCCACCACCCUUCAUAGAGUGGUGAACAGAACCCGGCUUACGACCUGCUUUCACCC